AGACGAAAUCCCCCUGGAACCAUCUCUGCCCAUCAUCUUGGGGAGGCAUCACAUCGACUAGUUUCCAAUAGUCUACAACAGAAGAUAGAUCGCAAUGGCUAUGGCAAUCAUAUGCAUACCCCACCACCACCUUAUUUUGCAGCUCCCUGCGGCCCACCACCACCUUAUUUUGGAGCUCCCUGCGGCCCACCACACUCUUUCUAUUCAAAUGGGCUGCACAAUCAUGGACACUAUGGAACUUUACAACCAGAAAUAGAUUAUUCUCAUGCAGGUUAUCCCUGUUCUGCAAGUCCUCAUAUGCCAACUCACUA
rnacentral:lncRNA from 1 species